AUUCAUUCUUCCUGGCAUCAGUCACCUGGGACUUCAUCAGACUCAAACCGAUUAGGAAAAUUCACCUUGAAAGCAUCAUUUAUAAUGGACCCAAAUCAUAGAAAACAUUUGGCUUGGAGGAAGGUAGAAAUAGCAUUUCUACCUAAGCUGUCCUCCCCAAGACUAAUCAUUAGACUAAUUAGUGGCUAAUCAAUGUUUAAUUAAAACCUAGCCAUUAAUUAUAGGAA
rnacentral:lncRNA from 1 species